ACCUGGCUGGCUCAGUUGGUAGAGCACGUGACUCUUGAUCUUAGGGUUGUGAGUUCAAGCCCCACGCUGGGUG
rnacentral:tRNA from 1 species